rfam:Nematocida parisii ERTm3 unplaced genomic scaffold supercont1.5, whole genome shotgun sequence.
UCUCUCAUGGUGUAGUGGUUAUCAUUCUCGCUUGUCACGCGGGGGACCAGGGUUCGAUUCCCUGUGAGAGAG